UACGUAGGGUGCAAGCGUUAAUCGGAAUUACUGGGCGUAAAGCGUGCGCAGGCGGUUUUGUAAGUCAGAUGUGAAAUCCCCGGGCUUAACCUGGGAACUGCGUUUGAAACUACAAGGCUAGAGUGUGGCAGAGGGUAGUGGAAUUCCCGGUGUAGCGGUGAAAUGCGUAGAGAUCGGGAGGAACACCAGUGGCGAAGGCGGCUACCUGGACCAGCACUGACGCUGAGAAGCGAAAGCAUGGGGAGCGAACAGG
rnacentral:rRNA from 1 species